rnacentral:tRNA from 1 species
UGGCAAAGUGGUUAAGUGUUUGGCUGCUAACCAAAAGGCUGGGUGGUUCAAACCCACC